UAAAUAAAUGCGUGGUCUUGCUGGGCAGGCUAUGCUCUUCGGAUGUCAUCUUGAGACUGGCCUGAGAAAUUUCCCAUCACUUGCUAUUGGRGCUACCAGGAACAUUUUCAAGAGAAGUUUGGCCUCUGACCAGAGACUGAGACACUUAAGACUUCUGCAGGCUGGGACUGAAACCUGCAAAUGAAGAAAUGUGACUGGAAAGAGCAAUCUGUGCUCUUCGAAAAUAAAAUGCUGAAUAUCUCCUCCAACAUGGAUGAAGCAAUGUAGAGAAGAGACUUCCUGUGACAGAAGGUUUAACUUAGCUGCUGUUUGGCACUAUUAAGAAUUACUUCAAGCUUGUGAAUGCUAGUUCCUAAGAGGUUGCAUGACUUCUUACCUUCUCAGCAAAUGUGUAUCUUUCAUCAGAAAAAAGCCUUGAUUUCCUCAUUUUAAAUGUUAACAWCUUGAAGAGGAUUUUGAAAAGGAAUGUGCAUUCUUGAAUUAUAGCAGCUGUCUCCAAAUGAACUGUGAUGGUUGAACCUAGUUUUUCUCAUGAGGCAAGUCGCUUCUGGCUCCCCAUCUGGAUUACCCCUCAAUGAAAACUACAAUUUAUCAGUUGGUAAAAGUGCAUGAUUGUUCUAUUAAAUGGGUAAAUUAUUUGCUGAAACGUGGUUAUUCAUAUUUACAGAUGAAUUACUAGUGUAAAAAUGACCAAAGAUUUCUUUGAUUUGACAAUGUUUUCUGCUGAUAAACUGUUAAACUCGCUUUGAAAAUUCACUUUGAAAAGAAUUGUGCACAGUGUAGAUUUAUUACUCAACAGAUGCUCAUCACAUUGCUUAAUGCUUUAUUUCAUGGUCUAUAUUCUCCAUCCAUUCUGAUUCUUAAAUCUACACCCAAUUCUUUUUAAACAUCUGGUGCUUUUUCUCUUCCAUGUUUUWAAAAUAAUAAUUUGUUUGGACAGCGUGUUUCUUCUUAUACUGCUCUUAAUCCUCAUGGGUGUUUGGAAUAUAGGCAGGAGAACAGAACUUCUAUGAUUAAAUGUAAAGAUGUUUGCAAGAUUGUUUUAUUCUAAGAUAAAUUUGAGUUUAUUUUUCCUGUAAUGACAUCAUCUGCUGGCAGCCUUUGACAUAAAUCUGCUGUUGCUGGGAGCUUGGGCUGCAUGUCCUUGCAAAAGGAGAUUGUUCUGUGAACAAUAGAUCUGUGUACAGACUUCAAGGUAAAUUAAAACUAAACAGACUUAGAUUUCUUUUUYGAAGCAGACAUUAA